UAAUACGUAGGGAGCGAGCGUUAUCCGGAAUUAUUGGGCGUAAAGGGUGCGUAGACGGCAAUACAAGUCUUUUGUUAAAGUGCUAAGCUCAACUUAGUGAUGCAAAAGAUACUGUAUAGCUAGAGUAUGGAAGAGGCAAGUGGAACUCCAUGUGUAGCGGUAAAAUGCGUAAAUAUAUGGAAGAACACCAGUGGCGAAGGCGGCUUGCUGGUCCGAUACUGACGUUGAGGCACGAAAGCGUGGGGAGCAAACAGGAUUAGAUACCCUGGUAGUCCACGCCCUAAACGAUGAGUACUAAGUGUUGGUGAGAAAUCAGUGCUGAAGUUAACGCAUUAAGUACUCCGCCUGAGUAGUACGUACGCAAGUAUGAAACUUAAAGGAAUUGACGGGAGCCCGCACAAGCGGUGGAGCAUGUUGUUUAAUUCGACGAUACGCGAAGAACCUUACCAGGUCUUGACAUCUAGUUGUUAGGUAUGGAGACAUGCCGAGAUGACUAAGACAGGUGGUGCAUGGUUGUCGUCAGCUCGUGUCGUGAGAUGUGGGUUAGUCCGCAACGAGCGCAACCUUAUGCUAGUACUAAUAUAGUAGGACUCUAGCAAGACUGCAGUGAUAAUGAGGAAGGUGGGAUGACGUCAAUCAUCAUGC
rnacentral:rRNA from 1 species